rnacentral:rRNA from 1 species
CCUACGGGGGGCAGCAGUGAGGAAUUUUCGGCAAUGGGCGCAAGCCUGACCGAGCAACGCCGCGUGCAGGAGGACGCUUUUCGGAGUGUAAACUGCUUUUAUCGGGGAAGAGAACAGACGGUACCCGGUGAAGAAGCCCCGGCUAACUACGUGCCAGCAGCCGCGGUAAUACGUAGGGGGCGAGCGUUGUCCGGAGUUACUGGGCGUAAAGGGCAUGUAGGCGGUCUGCUAAGUUCGGAGUGACAGUCACCAGCUUAACUGGUGAAGUGCUUUGAAAACUGGCUGACCUGUGAGCGAGAGAGGGACAUGGAAUUCCGGGUGGAGUGGUGAAAUGCGUAGAGAUCCGGAGGAACACCAAAGGCGAAGGCAGUGUCCUGGCUCGUUUCUGACGCUGAGGUGCGAAAGCCAGGGGAGCGAACGGGAUUAGAUACCCCUGUAGUC